GACCAGCUGUCCUGGUUUGCCUGGGUCUGAGGGGUAUCCUGGGACAUGGGACUUUCAGUGCAUA
rnacentral:miRNA from 1 species